rnacentral:rRNA from 1 species
CGGCGGACGGGUGAGUAACACGUGGAUAACCUACCUAUAAGACUGGGAUAACUUCGGGAAACCGGAGCUAAUACCGGAUAAUAUAUUGAACCGCAUGGUUCAAUAGUGAAAGACGGUUUUGCUGUCACUUAUAGAUGGAUCCGCGCCGCAUUAGCUAGUUGGUAAGGUAACGGCCUACCAAGGCAACGAUGCGUAGCCGACCUGAGAGGGUGAUCGGCCACACUGGAACUGAGACACGGUCCAG